rnacentral:lncRNA from 1 species
GAGCAUUUGUGACUAUUCUAUUACUCUGACCUCCCAGGACUGGACCUACAGAGACAUCUGGGAUUUUCUGCGUCAGCUGUUUGUCCCAUACUGUAUCCUGUAUGACCGAGGAUACACAUCACUGGGGAGUCGGGAGAAUACCGUGCGGAACCCGGCCCUGAAGUGCCUGAGCCCAGGAGGACACCCCACAUACCGUCCAGCCUAUCUACUGGAGAAUGAAGAAGAGGAGCGGAACUCCCGCACAUGACCUCCCACCCUAGGAGGGAGGGAAGGACACUAUCCUAGGGUAUAAGCUGGCAAUAAACCGUGCCUCUC